UGGGGAAUCUUGCACAAUGGGGGCAACCCUGAUGCAGCGACGCCGCGUGAGCGAUGAAGCCCUUCGGGGCGUAAAGCUCUUUCGACCGGAACGAUAAUGACGGUACCGGGAGAAGAAGCUGCGGCUAACUACGUGCCAGCAGCCGCGGUAAUACGUAGGCAGCAAGCGUUGUUCGGAGUUACUGGGCGUAAAGAGUGCGUAGGCGGUUUUCUAAGUUCGGUGUGAAAUCUCCCGGCUUAACUGGGAGGGUGCGCCGAAGACUGGGAAGCUGGAGUGUGGGAAAGGCAGGCGGAAUUCCUGGUGUAGCGGUGAAAUGCGUAGAUAUCAGGAGGAACACCGGUGGUGUAGACGGCUUGCUAGACCAUAACUGACGCUGAAGCACGAAAGCGUGGGUA
rnacentral:rRNA from 1 species